AACUUUCCUUCAAUUUUGAAAUUCAACAUGAAUUUUCAAUUUUUUUAUUAAAAUACAUGAACUUUCAUAUUUUUCGAUUUUUAACACCGAUAACUAUUCCGGUGAAAUUGAAUCUGAUGUGGCAUAUCUAAAAGAUGACUAGGACUAAUUGUGACACGUUAGUACGACAUCAUUUUGGGCAGUUAAAAAAAUACAAAACAUAAAAGAAAUUUCUCCCCCAAAUCUUCGAUUUUAUUCUACGCUGUGGCUUGUGGGCAUGCAUCUAUUGGUUUUGUUGGGACGCUAGGGCUUAUAGACGAUCUUGGAUUCUUCUUCAUCCGACUUGCGAGCUCUGCUGCUAUGAAGUUUGGGGUUAUUUUUCGGUCCAGCGGCUUGCUAUGGACCGGAUGGCGCAGAUGGAAUACGUGUGUGCUCUAGAGUGAGCUUGGAGCUGGGAUCGGAGAGGUCGAGUCUUGUUGGUGUCUCCGCGGUGGUCGUGGCUUUGCAUACAUGGGCUAUCGGUGUCGAGAAUUUUUAUGGGAAUUGUUCAUAUGUAAUGGAGAAAAAAAAUUGCUUGAUUUACUCUUGUUUGAAUUGAGGAUGAAGAUGUUUGUUUUAAUUUUUCAUGUUUGGUUCCGUUCUAUGUUUCAUUAUGGUGAAGUAGAGAUGGUAAUAUUAGCAAGGAAUGCAAUGUGUUUAAUUUUCAUGAGUUGCUGCUGUCACUUGAAAGAAUAGAUGAUGGCAUGACA